rnacentral:lncRNA from 1 species
CAUACGCUUUAAUGGUUGAGUGAACCGGAGAUCAGCAGAAGCCAUACGCUUUAAUGGUUGAGUGAGCCGGAGAACAGAACAGGCCAUGCGCAUUAAUUGUUGACGGCGAGGCAGGGUAUGGUCUCCUGUUGAGCUACGGAAGGGUGUGACGUUAGUAGGUGAGCGGUGAGGUUGGGCUUUUGAAACUAGGCUCCAGAAGGAGAUUAGACCGAGGUCGAAUGCUAUGCCGAGGCAUCUCGGAGUCCAGCAUCUGGUCGGGAGCC